rnacentral:rRNA from 1 species
ACGGAAGGCAGCAGUGAGGAAUAUUGGUCAAUGGGCGCGAGCCUGAACCAGCCAAGUAGCGUGAAGGAUGACUGCCCUAUGGGUUGUAAACUUCUUUUGUUCGGGAAUAAAGGAGCCUACGCGUAGGCUUUUGCAUGUACCGUUCGAAUAAGCAUCGGCUAAUUCCGUGCCAGCAGCCGCGGUAAUACGGAAGAUGCGAGCGUUAUCCGGAUUUAUUGGGUUUAAAGGGAGCGUAGGCGGCCUUUUAAGUCAGCGGUCAAAUGUCAGCGCCCAACGCUGGCCUGCCGUUGAUACUGAUGGGCUUGAAUACACACAAGGAAGGUGGAAUUCGUGGUGUAGCGGUGAAAUGCAUAGAUAUCACGAAGAACUCCGAUUGCGAAGGCAGCCAUCUGGCGUGUUACUGACGCUCAUGCUCGAAGGUGCGGGUAUCAAACAGGAUUAGAUACCCUGGUA